UGGGUGCCCAAAUUACCUGACUAUGAAAGAGCCUCAAGUUUGGUCUGGGUCUCAAGUUCAUUUCCACCUUGGCAUCCCAGACAGGAGAAGCUCCCAGGAAUUGGCUUCCCUUGGCUUUCCCUUCCUUGCUCUCCAACACUGGCCAGAGGUGCUGGCUGCAGGUGCACAGCCACUGAGCACUUUCCUGAUGGUUUUAUAUCUCUCAACGCAGCCUCAGGGGCAAGCAGGGCACACAUGAUUGUCAUGUCUGUUUUGAAGAGUCACAGAGAGAGGAACUGUCUUUCAGAAAGCCCACAGCAAAGAAGUCUUCUUGUUGCAACUGAAAGCCCAGGCUCCUGACCCCUAUCCGGUGACACUCUCUUUAGGAACAGAAAGGGUCAACGAGAAGUUUCCCCAGUUGUAAGUCAGUCUCUAAUUUUCAUUUGUCCAUUCCUUCUGCAUACUCUCUCAAACAGCUUUUACGCACCAGACCCUCUCUUGGGCUCAUAGACAUCAUCGGCCUUGACCUUGUCCUCAGGUUACUCCCAGCAUGGUGAAGAAGACAGAGACCUCUCAGGGGAAACAGGAACAAAGGGGCCUGGGAACAAAGGGAGGAAGUGACUCAUCCCACCUGGGGAGAGUGCUCAGACAAGGUUCCAAAAAGAGACAACAUUUGGUGGAGGAGGAAGAGAGGGAUCCCCUCCUACAGGAGCCCAGCACGGUAGGAGGGAAGAUCAGAGGGUAGGGUAGCCAUGCUCAUCAUGGCUUAGAAUCAGCAGGAAUUCCACAGAGGCAGAAGUACCUGGAGUGGGGUAGAAGGGAGGCUGAAACAGAAGUCAGUUCCCAGGAGCCUUGAAUGCCAAGCUUAGAAGUUUGAUAUGUUAUCCUGGGGACUUCCUGGAGGUUUGUAAGCAGGUGCCAGUGUCAUCAGAGCUAUCAAAUUCCUCUUUCCCUCUCCUCCAUUCCUUCAGGCCCUCACUUAAAGUCAUUAGCAUGGAGACCCCAGAUGCCAACUGCAGAUAUGUCCCUUCUGUCUUGUGUGGGUCCCAGGUUACACCAGUCAGAGCAGGUAGCAGCUUAGAGCAGUUGCCUUCUAAAUCCUCCAGUUCACAGAUGGGGAGCCCAAAGCCCAGAGAAGGGGAGCAAGGGAAGCAACAUAUCAGUUGUCUACCACCUCCUCCAGAGCAGAUACAGAGCCUGCGGGUCACAUUUCAGCCUUGGGAGCCUCUGCAGAUGAGGACACAGUAGUCAGGGAAGGGCCUGCUUGACAGCCCAGGUGGCUGGAGCCAGGUCUCCCCCCUGCAGUGUCACAGGCUGUGUUGGGCCUGGAGGAUUCAGGGGUGGGGUGGCUGCUCUGCAGGAAGCAUCUGGGGCAGGGUUGGGAGAGGAGGGGAGGGCCUGCAGCUGCGCUGACAUUCUCCUGCCACAUGCAGAGGCAUCUCCCCAUGGUGGGCACUUGAAAUAGCUCCCUGAGCUCCAGAGGCCCAGCAUCUAUGGACUUUAAUGUUUAAAGAACCUUUGUGUGCAGAGCAGAGCAACUGGAGAUGGAACUGGACUCUCUACCCAUCAACCAGCCAACUCCAACAGAAGUAGCAACGACAUUAACCAUAAUGAAAAUAACAGCCGAAAUAGCCACCUUUCCAGUGCAUUGACCACAGGCCAGGCCCUGUGCAGAGCCCUUCACCUUUAUUUGCUCAAUUCGUCCUCCCCAAAGCCCUCAGAUGGAGGGAAUUUUUGUAUCCCUGUUUCACAGAUGUGGACUCGAGACUCAAAGAGGUUAGCAACUACCCCAAGACACCCAGCUGAAAAAUGGUGGGUUGGGAUUCAAACCCAGGUCUGGGCAAUGUCAUGGCCCAGCUUUCUCCACUGCUCUGCACGUACUUCUGAGAAAGGAUUUCAGUAUCACAUAAGCCAGGAGAGCAGCACUAAUGACAGAGUACUCAUCUGUUGGCAAAGGCUCCCCUCACCCAGACACCUGCACAGCUCCUUCUUGUACCUCUUGCAGUCUUUGUCCAGUCAUCCCCUUCUCCCCGAGGCUUUCCCUGAACACUUUAUUUAAAAAUUGAAAUCCCUGUUCCUCCAACUCCCACUUGUCCCUUUCUGCUAAUUUUCUCCUCCAUUUCACUGAUUGAUAUCUAUUUUCAUUUCCUGGGACUGCUGCGACAAAGUAUCACAAACUAGGUGGUUUAUAACAACAGAAUGUACUCUCUCGAAGGCUUAGGGCUCUUCCUUGCCUUUCUCUUGGCUGCUGGCGUCACCAGUAAUCCUUGGCAGUUUGUGGCUCACCACUGCAUCACACCAAUCUCUGCCACACAUGGCAUGUCCUCUCUUCUCUUUAUAUUGUCUUUUUAGGACACUGAUCAUGUUAGAUAAGAGCCUCCCCUAUUCUAGUAUGACCUUGACCUAACUAGUUACCUCUAACAAUAUCUGGACUUCUAUUCAUUUUACCUGGUGUUUUAUCAUCUGUCUCCUCCCAUUAGAAUGUAAGCUCCAGGAAGCAGAAAUUUCUGUCUGUCUUGGUCACUCUUCUGUUUCCCAUCACCUAAAACCCAACGUAAUUUGCUCAACAAUUUGUUGAGUGUGUGUGAAUGAAAUACCAAGUCUGGACAAAGUGCAACAGAGGCUACAAGGACAUAAUACUCAGGAACAACGGGAAGGUAGUUACUUUUGGAAAUCUCAGAGGAAAAGCAAGUUUCUGAUUUAUUGUGGGAUAAGAUGGAGAAGGAGGUACAGAGGACAGACAAGAAAACCAGAUAUCAAAUAGUAGAACUGGAGUCUGCAUUGGAGGUAGUAGAGAGCAGAAUUAAAGCCGAGAAAUAUAAAAAUCAGUAAGGUGGAGGGCAAACUUGAGAUACUUUCCCAGAAUUCAGAGGAAAUCGCCAAAUAGAUCAAUCCAGUGAGAUAAAGGAUAACAGUUGUGGAUACUGGAGAAGGGAGUUUUCCUAAGGGAAAACCAGGACAAAAGAAACAGAAUCAAAAUCCAAAACAGUAGAAACAGUAGCAAUGAGCACACCUAACACCCAGAUUUUGGUUCCUAACACCAUUCUCCAGUAAAAGGAACCAGGGCUCCUUAGACAAAUGGCUGGUUCUAUGGGGCAGGAAAUAGACAAGAUGAUUCUGGAGUAUUUUGUAAUACCAGAAGGUAAGGAAUAACACACAUACUGGUGGGGCUGUAUCAAGGGAGUACAGUUGCCAAUUGAAAGAGCUCCCAAUGGCCAAAGCUGGAACAAUUUGAACACAAAAAAUUAAAGUAGUAUUAGAAUAUAACCCAAAGUAUAAAAUAAAUCUCCACAAGUUUACUAUUAUGUAAAUGAUUGACUAAUAAAUGGGAGAAUAUAGGCAAACCUCCUACACAGAAGAAUUCAAAAUAACUUACAUAGAUACUUCACACUCCAAAGAGGUAGGUCAUAACUACACACUUCUUAAGUUACUUCCUUCCAAAGGGUACAGUAGGAGAAGGGGGGAUAAAAAAGAAUAACUUGACGGUCGAGAAACCUGACAAACGUUCCCUUAGCGAGGCAAUCAAGGUCAACAUCAGCAGUGAUAAGUCACAUUGAAAGCUCCCUUGACAUGAUAUGAUGGGAAUAACUUUACCUCUGUGGUCUUCUUCCCCAAAUCCCAUAACCCCAGUCUAACCAUGAGAAAAACAUCAGACAAAUUACAGUUGAAGGCCAUCCUACAAAAUACCUGACCAAUACUCCCCCAAACUGUCUAGUUCAUCAAAAAUAGAGAAAGCCUUAGCCAAAAGGAGCUGAAGGAGGCAUGACAAUUGAAUAUAAUGUGGUAUAUUCUAGAUGGGAUCCAGGAAUAGAAAAAGGAUGUUUGAGAAAAAGACUAAGGAAAUCUGAUUAAAGAAUGGGUGUUAGCUAAUAAUAACAUCAAUAUUUAUUCAUUGUGACAAAUGCACAAAAUACUAAUAUAAAACAUUAAUAAUAGGGAAAACUGGAUGAGGGGUUGUAUGGGAACUCUGUAUAUAGUCUCCACAAUUUUUCUGUUUUC
rnacentral:lncRNA from 1 species